rnacentral:rRNA from 1 species
UAACAAGGAUUCCCUUAGUAACUGCGAGUGAACAGGGAACAGCCCAGCGCCGAAGCCUCCGUUCCCAGUGGACGGCAGGCAUUGUGGCGUUUGGGAGAAGCCUCUCCCUCUGGUUUUGCGGGAGCCCAAGUCCCCCUGACCGGGGCCAUCGCCCGUAGAGGGUGCAAGGCCCGUGUGGCUUUUCGCGACCAGAGAAUGGCUCUCUCUCCCAGGAGUCGGGUUGCUUGGGAGUGCAGCCCUAAGCUGGUGGUAAACUCCAUCUAAGGCUAAAUACUUUUACGAGACCGAUAGCAAACAAGUACCGUGAGGGAAAGUUGCAAAGAACUUUGAAGAGAGAGUUCAAGAGUACGUGAAACCGCUCGGAGGUAAACGGGUGGGCCCACGAAUGCAUACAGAAGGGGAUUCAACUCGUUGACUGUAUGGCCGUGCCCCGCAGGUUUUUCUUUUCGAACGGAUCCUUGAGACCGAUCUGCGGAGCAGUGGUCGUCAGCGGGCGCACUUGCCCUUCUCGCAUCUCUUUCAAUUGUUAUUUUUGGAAGGGAGCGAACGCCGCGACCGGUUGGGAGAAACGACGGCGGCCAAUCGGUGAGGCCGGGCAGGUAUCCUUCUUUUGUGAGCCGCCUUUUCCUUUACCCUUCUCUCGGGGAGGUGCUUCUGGGGAGGUUUUUGGUUCUGGUUGGAGACUAGCCCGCCUUUUUAACCCCGGCUCCGCCGCCCGACCGAGGUUUAGAACCGAGGUUCGAAAACCGCGCCUGCGAUUUAUUUUUUUAAUAAACGCUCGAGCCCCAUCCCGGCAUGUGUAAGUCCAGUCCCCAUCGAUGCCAUGUUCAUUGUUGGAGGCCGUUUUUUUUUUUAAGGGCGGCGUGCGACUUGGCACAUAAAAAGUCACAGUGCCGGAUGUUCGGUGCUCUCGUUUAUGGUGCUGGUGGUCAGCGGCGAGUAGGUCGGUAACCCACCCGACCCGUCUUGAAACACGGACCAAGGAGUCUAACAUGUGCGCGAGUCGUAGGGUGCGUAAGCAAAACCCGAAGGCUUAAUGAGAGUAGAGGUCGGCAAUUUGUUCGUCGACCGAGGCGGGAUCCGUCUUUGUUUUUUCUUUCUUUUUGAAAUUUUUAAAAAGAGGAAAAUUUACCCUCCUUUUUUUUUAAAAUUUUCUUUUUUCUCCUCUUUCGAAAGGGAGAGGGAAAGAGAGGUUUUGGGGGAGGGAAAGAACGGCGCACCGCCGGCCCGUCUCGACCGCAACGCCGGUGAGGCGGCGCAAUAGCGCACACGUUGGGACCCGAAAGAUGGUGAACUAUGCCUAGGCAGGACGAAGCCAGAGGAAACUCUGGUGGAGGUCCGUAGCGUUUCUGACGUGCAAAUCGAUCGUCGGACCUGGGUAUAGGGGCGAAAGACUAAUCGAACCAUCUAGUAGCUGGUUCCCUCCGAAGUUUCCCUCAGGAUAGCUGGCGCUCAAGAGAUAACAGUCUCAUCCGGUAAAGCGAAUGAUUAGAGGCCUUGGGGCCGAAACGACCUCAACCUAUUCUCAAACUUUCAAUGGGUAAGAAGUCCGGCUUGCUCGACUGAAGCCCGGACCCACGGAUGCGAGUGCCCAGUGGGCCACUUUUGGUAAGCAGAACUGGCGCUGUGGGAUGAACCAAACGCUGGGUUACGGCGCCCAAUGCGACGCUCAUGAGACACAAUGAAAGGUGUUGGUUGCUAUAGACAGCAGGACGGUGGCCAUGGAAGUCGGAAUCCGCUAAGGAGUGUGUAACAACUCACCUGCCGAAGCAACUAGCCCUGAAAAUGGAUGGCGCUCAAGCGUGGAGCCUAUACCCAGCCGUCGGAGCAGAGACCGUAGGGCCUUUGAAGGGAAAAAGAAUAAACCCUUUUUUUCUUUAAAAAAUUAGGUCGUGGGGCUGCCGAUGCUCCGACGAGUAGGAGGGUCGCGGCGGUGAGCGUUGAAGGGUCGGGCGUAAGCCCGCCUGGAGCCGCCGUCGGUGCAGAUCUUGGUGGUAGUAGCAAAUACUCGAGUGAGAACCUUGAGGACUGAUGUGGAGAAGGGUUCCAUGUGAACAGCAGUUGAACAUGGGUCAGUCGGCCCUAAGGAAUAGGGGAAACCCGUUCCGAACGGGGGGGAAAAAAUUAAUUAAAUAAAAAUAUUAAGUUCCCCCCGCCGAGACCGAAAGGGAAUCGGGUUAAUAUUCCCGAACCCGGACACGGAGAUCGGGCCCUUGCGGUCCAGUGCGGUGACGCAAAUGAACUCGGAGACGUCGGCGGGAGUCCCAGGAAGAGUUGUCUUUUCUUUGUAAGGGACGGAAUCCCUGGAAUCGGCUCGCCCGGAGAUAGGGAUGUUGUUCCCGUAAAGCACCGCGCCUCCUGCGGUGUCUGGAGCGCUCCCGUCGGCCCUUGAAAAUCCGAGGGAGAAGGUGUGAUUUUCGUGCCGGGCCGUACCCAUAUCCGCAGCAGGUCU